rnacentral:rRNA from 1 species
AAUCCAUAGGUUAAUGAGGCGAACCGGGGGAACUGAAACAUCUAAGUACCCCGAGGAAAAGAAAUCAACCGAGAUUCCCCCAGUAGCGGCGAGCGAACGGGGAGGAGCCCAGAGCCUGAAUCAGCAUGUGUGUUAGUGGAAGCGUCUGGAAAGGCGCGCGAUACAGGGUGACAGCCCCGUACACAAAAGCGCAUGUGCUGUGAGCUCGAUGAGUAGGGCGGGACACGUGGUAUCCUGUCUGAAUAUGGGGGGACCAUCCUCCAAGGCUAAAUACUCCUGACUGACCGAUAGUGAACCAGUACCGUGAGGGAAAGGCGAAAAGAACCCCGGCGAGGGGAGUGAAAAAGAACCUGAAACCGUGUACGUACAAGCAGUGGGAGCACAGGUUUACCUGUGUGACUGCGUACCUUUUGUAUAAUGGGUCAGCGACUUAUAUUCUGUA